UGCAAAGGGAGUUCUGCUGGGAACCCCCAUCCAAUCACUUGCUGUGCCCAUGGGGGUAGUGGGGUUUGUGUAGACACCAUUUAUCACACCCCCUUCAGUUACAGCUGAACUCCUCCAUCUUCCAAAUUCAAUCAGGCCCAUCCCCUACCUCCCUCCUACCUACCCUACCCUUCUCUUUUUUAAGGUGGUUGGGGUGUUGAGGUACCCGGUGACCUAAAAAGGCUCAUAGUUCUGAAGAGUUGGAAGGGCAUCAUGACUUCUUGACCUCUCCUUCAAUUCUCAAACUUCCCCCAAAAGCAUGGUUUGGUGCCAGUCCCUUCACCUUCUUCCAGAACCUGAGACCAAGCUCAAGUUUUGGGGAGACAUGGUCACCAUUCCCAUGGUACUGAUGCUUGCUGGAUUUAGGGAGGGCAUUUUGCUACCAUGCCUCUUCCCAACACCCUGGGGACCAGUCUUUUGUUCUGUUCUGUUUGUCAUCAUUUGAUGUUCCCACUGCAUGCUGUGACUUCCCCCUCCCCAAACAAGAGACCCCACUGCAUGUUCUGAGACAGU
rnacentral:lncRNA from 1 species